rnacentral:miRNA from 1 species
CGGGUUUCGUGACAGGCGAGC